UACGUAGGUGGCGAGCGUUGUCCGGAUUUACUGGGCGUAAAGGGAGCGUAGGCGGACUUUUAAGUGAGAUGUGAAAUACUCGGGCUCAACUUGAGUGCUGCAUUUCAAACUGGAAGUCUAGAGUGCAGGAGAGGAGAAUGGAAUUCCUAGUGUAGCGGUGAAAUGCGUAGAGAUUAGGAAGAACACCAGUGGCGAAGGCGAUUCUCUGGACUGUAACUGACACUGAGGCACGAAAGCGUGGGGAGCAAACAGG
rnacentral:rRNA from 1 species